UUAUGGCAGCCAUGGCCAGGGGAGUCCCCAGCAGUGCAGCUCCAUUGGCCAGAGCUACUGCAGAGGCUCUGUGCAGACUAUCCUGGCCAGCUGUUGAUGUCCCAGAAGCCAUAUGGGGGGGAUGGGAGCCUGCUCUGAUCUCGUAUUCUCUUGAAUUCAGUGGACUUUGUAUCAGACUGACGGAGGAGAGUCAGUGGAGUAUCCAGCUGACCCCAGAAGGCUCUCAAACUUGGCAGAUAUCCUUGCAUUAUCUUACCUGCACAUUUUCAACGUGGUGCACAGCCCCAAACAGCUAGCCGCUCUUCUGUGCUGCAUCCUGGCUUCCAGAGCUCUGUGGAAAUCCAUGGAAGGUCACCUGUCGUCAUAUACUGUCCCUUCAAUCUGAGCACUGAAAGCAUUUUGCAGACAUUGAUGGAUUGAGCCUUACAGUGCCGUGUGAGGUGGCACUGGGGACCCUGGUUCUCUUAGCUCUUGGACUUUGUGAUGGGCCUGCCCUGUUCAUCUUAAUCUUCUCUUCCAAGGAAGAGUCUCCUUGCACAACUCUGCCUUCCUGUGCUUGAUGGUUUGGAUUUCAGAGGAACAAGUUCAGAGAAGAAGCCUUCUCCCAAUAAAUUGCGCAGAUUACGGCUCAUGAGCCAAAGGAAGCUCAAUCAACAAAUUGUACCCAGAUAGUUGAUCCAAACGCAUAACUGUGAAGCACACGGACAUACCACACUCCCUGCUGGUUUGGAUUUAGGAAUAGAUCUGCUAUUGUAUAGGCUCUACUUUUCACUAUUUCCUGGCUUCUUAACAGGUGGUGCCAUAAUGCUAGCUGUACUGAAUCUAUCUGAAGAUGUCAUAAGAAGAGGGUUGCCAACAAACUCACUUGCUAUUAAGAUACAUUCCCAUAUGAAAUAUUAGAAAGGGCACAAUUCAUCUUCUGGGAGUGCUUACUGUACUUCAUACACUGAAAGAUGGACCACUGCUGUGAUCCAGGCUGGCAAUUAAUAUGUUCCUAUUGCAAAACAAACAAACAAAAAAAGAAUAAAACUCUCAGACAUCUGCGGUUUGGUCUACAUAACUAUCGGGGAACACUCUAAAAAAUAAAAAUGAUAGUUCCACAAGCUGUAUUUACAAUAUUACCACAAAUAUCUUUAAAAGUUCUCUUUAAGGUAAGGUAAGGAAAG